rnacentral:rRNA from 1 species
AGUGAACGCUGGCGGUAGGCCUAACACAUGCAAGUCGAACGGCAGCACAGUAAGAGCUUGCUCUUACGGGUGGCGAGUGGCGGACGGGUGAGGAAUACAUCGGAAUCUACUUUUUCGUGGGGGAUAACGUAGGGAAACUUACGCUAAUACCGCAUACGACCUACGGGUGAAAGCAGGGGAUCUUCGGACCUUGCGCGAUUGAAUGGGCCGAUGUCGGAUUAGCUAGUUGGCGGGGUAAAGGCCCACCAAGGCGACGAUCCGUAGCUGGUCUGAGAGGAUGAUCAGCCACACUGGAACUGAGACACGGUCCAGACUCCUACGGGAGGCAGCAGUGGGGAAUAUUGGACAAUGGGCGCAAGCCUGAUCCAGCCAUACCGCGUGGGUGAAGAAGGCCUUCGGGUUGUAAAGCCCUUUUGUUGGGAAAGAAAAGCAGCAGGUUAAUACCCCGCUGUUCUGACGGUACCCAAAGAAUAAGCACCGGCUAACUUCG